UACGUAGGGUGCAAGCGUUGUCCGGAAUUAUUGGGCGUAAAGAGCUCGUAGGCGGUCUGUCACGUCGGCUGUGAAAACUCGGGGCUCAACCCCGAGCCUGCAGUCGAUACGGGCAGACUAGAGUCCGGCAGGGGAGACUGAAAUUCCUGGUGUAGCGGUGAAAUGCGCAGAUAUCAGGAGGAACACCGGUGGCGAAGGCGGGUCUCUGGGCCGGAACUGACGCUGAGGAGCGAAAGCGUGGGGAGCGAACAGG
rnacentral:rRNA from 1 species